CAAAGGUGCUCCACUGAAGAAUCGCUGGGGCUUCAUAGAAGACGCGAGACGACAAAUUUGUCGGCCAUCUAAGCUCCAGCAGGAGCACUACUCUGGGCACAAGCGCUUCCAUUGCCAGAAGAUCAGGCUGUUAUGUGCGCCAAUAACAUUAUUUGCUAGCUAGAUAGCCCAAUCAGGGAACGGCGUCAUGAUGCUGGCAUCCUGAAAGACACCAGGUUCUACGAAAAUAUUGUCAAGGUUGCCAGAGGUAACAAAUAUGUGAUUCAUGGAGACCCGGUUUACCCAUUAAAGCCUCUGCUCCUGAAGCCUUA